AAUCAACGCUGGCGGCGUGCCUAACACAUGCAAGUCGAACGCGAAAGUCCCGCAAGGGAUAAGUAGAGUGGCAAACGGGUGAGUAACACGUGGGUGACCUGCCUUCGAGUGGGGGAUAACGUCCCGAAAGGGACGCUAAUACCGCAUGACAUCCUGCUUUUAAAGAGGUGGAGAUCAAAGCCGGGGAUCCGCAAGGACCUGGCGCUUGAAGAGGGGCCCGCGCCUGAUUAGCUAGUUGGUGGGGUAACGGCUCACCAAGGCAACGAUCAGUAUCCGGCCUGAGAGGGCGGACGGACACACUGGGACUGAGACACGGCCCAGACUCCUACGGGAGGCAGCAGUGGGGAAUUGUUUGCAAUGGGCGCAAGCCCGACGACGCAACGCCGCGUGGAGGAUGAAGACCUUCGGGUUGUAAACUCCUUUCGAUCGAGACGAACGGCUUCCGGGUGAACAAUCCGGAAGAGUGACGGUACCGAGAGAAGAAGCCCCGGCUAACUCCGUG
rnacentral:rRNA from 1 species